ACACUGAGAAAGCGGCCUUCUUUUGCCGUGCAUAUGAUGAGGACAGCCAGGGCAUCUUAUGCACCCCUGAAGUAGUCCCAUCCACCGCAUCUGUAUCAGUUCAGAAUGUAUAUCCUUCUCAGACCGUAAUCUGGCCAGGGAGCGGACUGUUUGAAGCAGGUGACGAAGCAAUAC